CAAUAGCGUAUAUUAAAGUUGUUGCAGUUAAAAAGCUCGUAGUUGGACUUCUGCGGGUGGCGGCCGGUCGUGCUCGAAACGGGCGUGAACUUGGCGUGCUGCCCGCAUCUUUGGGGAGAUUGUGCGUGGCAUUAAGUUGUCGUGCAUGGGAUUCUCAUUAUUUACUGUGAAAAAAUUAGAGUGUUUAAAGCAGGCCUUUGCCUUGAAUACAUUAGCAUGGAAUAAUAAGAUAGGACCGUUGUCUAUUUUGUUGGUUUACAGAUGUCGGUAAUGAUUAAUAGGGAUAGUUGGGGGUAUUCGUAUUCAGUUGUCAGAGGUGAAAUUCUUGGAUUUUCGGAAGACGCACGACUGCGAAAGCAUUUACCAAGGAUGUUUNCAUUA
rnacentral:rRNA from 1 species